CUCUGGUUUGGCAUGGAGGUGUUCAUUAAGUGAACAAGCAGAUGGACUAAGAUACUGGUUCUUAGAGAUAAUAAGCCUGCAGAAUGAUGGAAGAUGCAGGAUUUUGACAAGUAUUCUGCUCUAGCUGAGCCUAUGCCAACUGAUUGGAGUUUUGAAGUGAAUCUCCUGAUUUUGUCUUCUUACUGGACUUCAGUUCCCUCUGCAAAGCAGUCUCAGUAUGUGUGAG
rnacentral:lncRNA from 1 species